rnacentral:rRNA from 1 species
AUUGAACGCUGGCGGCAGGCCUAACACAUGCAAGUCGAACGAGUGGCGGACGGGUGAGGAAUGUCUGGGAAACUGCCCGAUGGAGGGGGAUAACUACUGGAAACGGUAGCUAAUACCGCAUACCAUCGGAUGUGCCCAGAGGGGUUUAGCUAGUAGGUGGGGUAACGGCGCACCUAGGCGAGGAUCCCUAGCUGGUCUGAGAUGUGGACAAGCCACACUGGAACUGAGACACUGUCCAGACUCCUACGGGAGUCAGCAGUGGGGAAUAUUGCACAGUGGUCGCAAGCCUGAUGCAGCCAUGCCGCGUGUAUGAAGAAGGCCUUCGGGUUGUAAAGUACUUUCAGCGAUGAGGCGUUACUCGCAGAAGAAGCACCGGCUAACUCCGUGCCAGCAGCCGCGGUAAUAC